UACCUCCAUACCAUUUUCGAAACAUAAACAAAGUGACAGUUGAAUGAGAAAAGUUCUAUUUUAUGCCCACAGGAAAUAAAGUGCUGCACUUUUCUCUCUAGAAAUGUCUUUUGACCAGUCAAGAUCAGAAGCAGGUACUCUGAUUUUUG